CCGUAGGUGAACCUGCGGAAGGAUCAGUUUUGAAUUUUAUWRAUGAGGAGUUGAGUUGUUACUGGCCUUUUCUACCUUAAUUUGGCAGGAGGGGCGUGUGGACCCCUCCUUUUUCAUCCAUCACACCACCUGAGCAGCUGUUAGGCGGCAAUAAUAGGUGGAGGAAAUUACAUCAUCCAUUUGCUGUCUACUUAAUUUACACACACUCUACUUAAUUUAAACUGAAUGUAAUUGAUGUAACGCAUCUAAUACUAAGUUUCAACAACGGAUCUCUUGGCUCUCGCAUCGAUGAAGAACGCAGCGAAAUGCGAUAAGUAAUGUGAAUUGCAGAAUUCAGUGAAUCAUCGAAUCUUUGAACGCACCUUGCGCUCCUUGGUAUUCCUUGGAGCAUGCCUGUUUGAGUAUCAUGAAAUCUUCAAAGUAAACCUUUUGUUAAUUCAAUUGGUCUUUUUUACUUUGGUUUUGGAGGAUCUUAUUGCAGCUUCACACCUGCUCCUCUUUGUGCAUUAGCUGGAUCUCAGUGUUAUGCUUGGUUCCACUCGGCGUGAUAAGUUAUCUAUCGCUGAGGACACCCGUAAAAAAGGUGGCCAAGGUAAAUGCAGAUGAACCGCUUCUAAUAGUCCAUUGACUUGGACAAUAUUCUAUUUUAUGAUCUGAUCUCAAAUCAGGUAGGACUACCCGCUGAACUUAAGCAUAUCAAUAAGCGGAGGA
rnacentral:rRNA from 1 species